rnacentral:rRNA from 1 species
CCUACGGGUGGCAGCAGUGGGGAAUUUUGGGCAAUGGAGGCAACUCUGACCCAGCAACGCCGCGUGAGUGAUGAAGGUCUUCGGAUUGUAAAACUCUUUAAGUGGGGACGAAGGAAGUGACUGUACCCACAGAAUAAGCCUCGGCUAACUACGUGCCAGCAGCCGCGGUAAUACGUAGGCGGCAAGCGUUUUCCGGCAUGACUGGGCGUAAAGGGUGCGUAGGGGGGUUGAUAAGUUAGUAGCGUAAUUCCGGGGCACAACUUCGGGACUACUAUUAAAACUGUUGAGCUUGAGUGCAGGAGGGGAGAAUGGAAUUCCAAGUGUAGCGGUGAAAUGCGUAGAUAUAUGGAGGAACACCGGCGGCGAAAGCGAUUCUCUGGAUUGUAACUGACGCUGAGGCACGAAAGCGUGGGGAGCAAACAGGAUUAGAUACCCCAGUAGUC